UGUAAAAUAAGCUAAAUGUCAAGCUGUUGGGUUCAUACCCCAAAAAUGAGGAACCCUCUUUUACAG
rnacentral:tRNA from 1 species